CACUGCCGAGAAAAGCCUCUAGAUAGAAAAUAGGUGCCCGUACCGCAAACCGACACAGGUAGUCAAGAUGAGAAUUCUAAGGUGAGCGAGCGAACUCUCGUUAAGGAACUCGGCAAAAUGACCCCGUAACUUCGGGAGAAGGGGUGCUCUUUAGGGUUAACGCCCAGAAGAGCCGCAGUGAAUAGGCCCAAGCGACUGUUUAUCAAAAACACAGGUCUCUGCUAAACCGUAAGGUGAUGUAUAGGGGCUGACGCCUGCCCGGUGCUGGAAGGUUAAGAGGAGUGGUUAGCUUCUGCGAAGCUACGAAUCGAAGCCCCAGUAAACGGCGGCCGUAACUAUAACGGUCCUAAGGUAGCGAAAUUCCUUGUCGGGUAAGUUCCGACCCGCACGAAAGGCGUAACGAUUUGGGCACUGUCUCAACGAGAGACUCGGUGAAAUCAUAGUACCUGUGAAGAUGCAGGUUACCCGCGACAGGACGGAAAGACCCCGUGGAGCUUUACUGUAGCCUGAUAUUGAAAUUCGGCACAGCUUGUACAGGAUAGGUAGGAGCCUUUGAAACGUGAGCGCUAGCUUACGUGGAGGCGCUGGUGGGAUACUACCCUAGCUGUGUUGGCUUUCUAACCCGCACCACUUAUCGUGGUGGGAGACAGUGUCAGGCGGGCAGUUUGACUGGGGCGGUCGCCUCCUAAAAGGUAACGGAGGCGCUCAAAGGUUCCCUCAGAAUGGUUGGAAAUCAUUCAUAGAGUGUAAAGGCAUAAGGGAGCUUGACUGCGAGACCUACAAGUCGAGCAGGGUCGAAAGACGGACUUAGUGAUCCGGUGGUUCCGCAUGGAAGGGCCAUCGCUCAACGGAUAAAAGCUACCCCGGGGAUAACAGGCUUAUCUCCCCCAAGAGUUCACAUCGACGGGGAGGUUUGGCACCUCGAUGUCGGCUCAUCGCAUCCUGGGGCUGUAGUCGGUCCCAAGGGUUGGGCUGUUCGCCCAUUAAAGCGGUACGCGAGCUGGGUUCAGAACGUCGUGAGACAGUUCGGUCCCUAUCCGUCGUGGGCGUAGGAAAUUUGAGAGGAGCUGUCCUUAGUACGAGAGGACCGGGAUGGACAUACCUCUGGUGUACCAGUUGUCGUGCCAACGGCAUAGCUGGGUAGCUAUGUGUGGACGGGAUAAGUGCUGAAAGCAUCUAAGCAUGAAGCCCCCCUCAAGAUGAGAUUUCCCAACUUCGGUUAUAAGAUCCCUCAAAGAUGAUGAGGUUAAUAGGUUCG
rnacentral:rRNA from 1 species